rnacentral:tRNA from 1 species
GAGGGUAUAGCUCAAUGGUAGAGUGCAUGCUUAGCAUGCACAGGGUCCUGGGUUCAAUCCCCAGAAUCUCCU